rnacentral:rRNA from 2 species
CAACUGAAGAGUUUGAUCCUGGCUCAGAUUGAACGCUGGCGGCAUGGCUAAAGCAUGCAAGUCGAACGAGAACCGGCUUCGGCCGGGGACAGUGGCGGAAGGGCGAGGAAUACGAUCGAACGUGCCCCGAGGUGGGGGAUAGCCGCGGGAAACUGCGGGUAAUACCCCAUGUGCUCUUCGGAGGAAAGGUUUACCGCCUUGGGAGCGGCGAUCGUCCUAUCAGGUAGUUGGCGGGGUAACGGCCCACCAAGCCGAAGACGGGUAGCGGGUGUGAGAGCACGACCCGCCGCAUCGGGACUGAGACACUGCCCGGACUCCUACGGGAGGCUGCAGCGACGAAUCUUCCGCAAUGGGCGCAAGCCUGACGGAGCAAUGCCGCGUGCGGGAUGAAGCGGCUUCGCCGUGUAAACCGCUGUCAGGUCCCAGGAACACUGACCGGGACCAGAGGAAGGGCCGGCUAACCUCGUGCCAGCAGCCGCGGUAAUACGAGGGGCCCGAGCGUUAAUCGGAAUCACUGGGCUUAAAGGGUGCGCAGGCUGGCCCGAAAGCGUCUUGUGAAAGCCCCCGGCUCAACCGGGGAACAGCGGGGCGAACUUCGGGUCUUGAGGCAGGUAGGGGCGGAUGGAACUGUCGGUGGAGCGGUGGAAUGCGUAGAUAUCGACAGGAACGCCGAUGGCGAAGGCAGUCCGCUGGGCCUGUCCUGACGCUCAGGCACGAAAGCGUGGGGAGCAAACAGGAUUAGAUACCCUGGUAGUCCACGCCGUAAACGAUGCACACUAGAUCGGAGUGGUUCUCAUGCCUUUCCGGUCGAAGCAAAAGCGCUAAGUGUGCCGCCUGGGGAGUACGGUCGCAAGGCUAAAACUCAAAGGAAUUGACGGGGGCUCACACAAGCGGUGGAGCAUGUUGCUUAAUUCGAGGCAACGCGAAGAACCUUACCUGGGCUUGACAUGCACGGAUUAACUCCCUGAAAGGGGAGCCACGCCCGCAAGGGUGGAACGUGCACAGGUGUUGCAUGGCUGUCGUCAGCUCGUGCUGUGAAGUGUCGGGUUAAGUCCCUUAACGAGCGCAACCCCUGUCGCUAGUUGCUAACGGGUAAUGCCGAGGACUCUAGCGAGACUGCCGGUGUCAAACCGGAGGAAGGUGGGGAUGACGUCAAGUCCUCAUGGCCCUUAUGUCCAGGGAUGCUAACGUGCUACAAUGGCGCGUACAGAGCGAAGCGAGGCCGCGAGGCGGAGCAAAUCGCAAAAAGCGCGCCCCAGUUCGGAUUGCAGGCUGCAACUCGCCUGCAUGAAGCCGGAAUCGCUAGUAAUCGGAGAUCAGCUACGCUCCGGUGAAUACGUUCCUGAGCCUUGUACACACCGCCCGUCACGUCAUGGAAGCCGGGAGCGCCCGAAGUCGCCGCAUCUCAGCGGCGCCCACGGCAAGCUCGGUGACUGGGACGAAGUCGUAACAAGGUAGCCGUAGGAGAACCUGCGGCUGGAUCACCUCCUUUCU